rnacentral:ncRNA from 1 species
UACACAGGUUUGGUCCUGGCCUUAAAAUCAAUUUUUACUUAACUUACACAUGCAAGUCUCCGCACACCCGUGAAAAUGCCCUUACACCCACCUAGGGGUAAGGAGCUGAUAUCAGGCACAAACUGCCCAAAACAUCUAGCCCAGCCACACCCACAAGGGUACUCAGCAGUGAUUAACAUUAAGAAUAAACGUCAGUUUGACUUAGAAAAGGAAUAGAGAGCCGGCCAAUCUGGUGCCAGCCGCCGCGGUUACACCACGUGGCUCAAAUUGAUCUUAAUACGGCGUAAAGCGUGAUUAAAGAAAUAACAUCUGGGGUCAAAAUUAAAUUAAGCUGUCGCACGAUUAUUCUUAAGAAGCCCUAACUCGAAAGAUACCCCAAUCUACCAACUUGAAUUCACGACAACUAGAAUACAAACUGGGAUUAGAUACCCCACUAUGUCUAGUCGUAAACUUUAACUUACACCACAUCGCCAGGGAACUACGAGCAAAGCUUAAAACCCAAAGGACUUGACGGUGCCCCACAUCCUUCUAGAGGAGCCUGUCCUGUAAUCGAUAACCCACGUUCAACCUCACCACUCUUAGCUUAUCAGCCUGUAUACUUCCGUCGUCAGCUUACCGCGUGAGCGAAUAGUAAACUCAAUGUCAGAACAUCAAUACGUCAGGUCAAAGUGCAGCACAUAGAGCGGCAAGAGAUGGGCUACACUCUCUACAUUAGAAGACACGAAAAACUACAUGAAAUUGUACUUAGAAGGCGGAUUUAGCAGUAAGAGAAUCUAGAAUAUUUUUCUUAACUUGGCACUGGGGUGCGUACACACCGCCCGUCACCCUCUUCGAUAAAACCCUAUUAGUAUUUAACAUCUGAUUAACCAAUAGAAGAGGCAAGUCGUAACAUGGUAAGCGUACCGGAAGGUGCUCUUGGAAA